UGGGGAAUAUUGGGCAAUGGGGGAAACCCUGACCCAGCGACGCCGCGUGAGGGAAGACGGCCUUCGGGUUGUAAACCUCUUUUGUACGGGAAGAAGGAAGUGACGGUACUGUACGAAUAAGUCCCGGCUAACUACGUGCCAGCAGCCGCGGUAACACGUAGGGGACGAGCGUUGUCCGGAAUUACUGGGCGUAAAGGGCGCGCAGGCUGUGCUGCAAGUCAGCUGUGAAAUGUCUGGGCUUAACCCGGGCAUGCGGUUGAGACUGCAGUGCUGGAGUGCUGUAGAGGCAAGUGGAAUUCCCAGUGUAGCGGUGAAAUGCGUAGAUAUUGGGAAGAACACCGGUGGCGAAGGCGACUUGCUGGGCAGCAACUGACGCUGAGGCGCGGAAGCCAGGGGAGCAAACGG
rnacentral:rRNA from 1 species